rnacentral:rRNA from 1 species
AGUGAACGCUAGCGGCGUGCCUAAUACAUGCAAGUCGAACGGAGUGGCGCACGGGUGAAUAAUAUAUGGAUAAUCUGCCCUACACAGAGGAACAACAGUUGGAAACAACUGCUACUACAUAAUAGUGUAGGAUGCGACUAUAGCGUAUCAGCUAGUUGGUAAGGUAAUGGCUUACCAAGGCUAUGACGCGUAACUGGUCUGCGAGGAUGAUCAGUCACAUUCGAACUGAGACACGGUCCAAACUCCUACGGGAGGCAGCAGUAAGGAAUAUUGCGCAAGGGGGGAAACCCUGACGCAGCAACGCCGCGUGGAGGAUGACACUUUUCGGAGAGUAAACUCCUUUUAUCAGGAAAGCGGUACCUGAUGAAUAAGCACCGGCUAACUCCGUGCCAGCAGCCGCGGUAAUAC